UUGAGCUGUCCUGGGACCUGGAAAAUCAAAGCUACAGUUUUCUGCAAACAGUAUACUGACCCAUCACAGGGCUGGGACAGCUGGAAAGCCCAGAAGAGCCACCCGUGGGCCAGGCAUGCAUAGCAGAUCCAUACUGUGUCUGAGAAAGCUGGGGGCCUGCUGAAGUUUUGAAAUCUUUGGAGCUGCAAGGCCAUAAGAAACUCCCAUCUCUUUUUCCAGCUCUACCACAAGUUCCAAGGCCGCGCUCUGAAAUCUUGCUGGCAGCUGAAAACAGACGAGCAGUGCAAUAUAGCCAAGCCCCCAGCAACUGCACUGCUGCUUCAGCACAAGCUCCUCACCGUGGGUAAAUGUUUCCAGGUGCUUCUGCUGCUGCAUAUACUGCCCCGGCUGCUGUGUGCUCUCCUCUGGCUUCCUCUCUGAUUCUGCUGGAAGGCAUUAAUGUUCAUCACCUUGUCUCUGCCUGUGCUGGGUCUUGCUGGGAUGAAGUUAUGAAGUCCACUUUCUUCAUAGCAGCCUGUAUGGUGCUGUGCUCUGUGUUUAUGGCUAAACCAUGGUUGAUAACACACCCCUGUACUGCCGAGCGGUGCUGGCACAGCGGCAAUGCCUUCUGUUUCUCUCUUCACUGCCCCUGCCCCACCAAAGCUAGUAGGCUGGGGGUGGGCAAGAAGUUGGGAG